AAAAAAAAGAGUAAGAUGAGGCCUCACCAUUCCCAGAACACACUUAGCUUACAUUUUCAGGUGUUGGAAGCCCCGGAGCCUCACAGGGGACCACGCCCACUGCCAGGAGCUGCAGCGAUUCCCCUUUUGUGGUCAGGGAGGCCGUGGAGCCCUGGGUGACCCUGUGACUUCCCAGGCUGCAGGUGGGAUUGAGCCAGGCACUGCGCACGCAGCACUGUGAGCCGCUGGCCCAGGCCAGGCUCCAGAGAUGGGAGCUCCGCGGGUUCACAGUCGUCUGUGACAGCAGAGCUGAGGGGAGGACGCAGACCCUGGCCUGACCUUGGGCUACCUCUCAGGGUUAGGCCACUGCCUCUGCUGCAGACCCAGGCGGCGCCCAAAGCCUGGGCGUCCCUCCGCUGCAGUGAAAGGGAAAAGAAAACCGGGCUGCGGUAAUGCCUGGAGCCAAAAUCUCAGGGAGAAGCCCAGCUCCCGACACCUACCCUCUUAAAGUGCAGUUGGAUUGAAUGAGGCUAAAGGAAGUAACAGGAACCCCGGCCUGGAGGAAGGAGCACGUGCUAUGGGCCUCAGAGGGUGGCAGAGGAGGUCUGCAGGGGCGAGAAUCUCGGACAGAGCCGAGGCACAGGGGCAGUGCGCAUGACCAGGGCUCCCAGACUUCAGGCAAGGAUGAUGGCGGAGAGACACGGCUUAGAAGUCAUCCCACCAUAUGGACGGGGAAACUGAGGCCCAGAGACAUGCAGAGACUUGGCUCGGACUGUUUUCUUCAAUGUGAGAUAGGAUUUGAAGGGGGAAAGUGAAGGAGUUAUUUCACCUGAUGUGUUAAGUGCGGAGUGAGGUAGGUGGGAUUUAGAGGGGAAAGCGAAGAAGGAGUUAUUUCACUCAAAGUGCGGAGUGACGAAGAUGAAGGAACACGAGGUAGCCGGGCAGUGGGUGCUGAGUUGGCUGACACUGGCUUCCUUCCAGAGCGCAGGGGUGCAUCCUUCCGAACCUCGCAUUCAGUGACGUCACCUUGGUGAUUUGAAGUAGGCCCUGGUGGAAGUAUUUACACCAUGGACAUCAGCAAAUGCAACCAAGACCUCCCGCUACCCUGGAGAGCUGGGUUUAAGACAUUUGCCAGCACACCACUGCCCAGGGACCAGUCUCAGCUCCAGAGCUGUGGGUUAUUGGUAAAGGAUGUGAUUUCAUUGAGCCUCAGUUUCUGUAUCUGUAAAGCAGGAAUCUAUCACUUAUGAAAUAUCCUGUGCAGGCACAAUCUUAGGUGUGGAGGAUACAAUACAACGUAAGUAAGAUAAAAGUAUCCACCUGUGUGGAGCUUGUAUUUUGGUGGGGAGACAAACAAGGGAACUAUAAUGAUAUGUCAUGUCAUAAUACAUGCAAUGAUGACAAAGCCAGGUGAAAAGGCGAUGAUGGUCAUUAAGUUCAAGAUGGGGAGGGGUUGGGGUGAGGGCUGGCCUGUCUGAGGAGGGGCAUUUGCAGUGCUGGAGCAAGCCAUGGAGGACAGGAAUUGCUCCAGUCAGAGGAACAGCAAGGACAAGGGGCCCAAGACGGCAUGUACUAGAGGCUCCACGCAUAGAAAAAGCCAGCCAUCCCCAGCGCUGUAACUGAGUGGCCAGUGGUGGGAGUCUUUGUAAUAGUUAAUUUUAUGCAUCAACUUGACUGGAUCACAGUGUGCCCAGAUAUUUGAUCAAACAUUAUUCUGAGUGUUUCCGUGACAAUGUUUUUGGAUACAAUCAACAUUUAUUUAAUUGGUUGAAGACCUGAAUAGAACAAAGAGUUCAAUUCUCUCAAGUAAGAGAAUUCCUCCUGUCUGACUACUUCAGAAUUGGGACAUUGGCUUUUUCCUGCCUCUACACUACAACUACACCAUCAAGCCUUCAGACAUGGAAAGGAACCACACUAUUGGCUCUCCUCGGUCUUCAGCUUGCCAACUCAAUGCAGAUCUUUGCAUUUGUCAGCCUUAUAACCAUACAGGUAAGAAGGAGAAAAAAACAAAAAAAAAAAAGGAAAAGGGAAUAUGUUAAAAUC
rnacentral:lncRNA from 1 species